GAAUUUUGGGCAAUGGGCGAAAGCCUGACCCAGCAACGCCGCGUGCAGGAUGAAGGCCCUCGGGUCGUAAACUGCUGUCGGGAGGGAAGAACGGCGGUGGUGGAAACACUGCCAUCGCGUGACGGUACCCCCCACGGAAGCGCCGGCCAACUCCGUGCCAGCAGCCGCGGUAAUACGGAGGGCGCAAGCGUUGUUCGGAAUUACUGGGCGUAAAGGGCGUGUAGGCGGUCUGGUAAGUCGGUUGUGAAAUCCCCGGGCUCAACCCGGGAACUGCAUCCGAAACUGCUGGGCUAGAGUUCCGGAGAGGAAGGCAGAAUUCCCAAUGUAGGGGUGAAAUCCGUAGAUAUUGGGAGGAAUACCAGUGGCGAAGGCGGCCUUCUGGACGGUGACUGACGCUGAGACGCGAAAGCGUGGGGAGCAAACA
rnacentral:rRNA from 1 species